UCUCGAUUCGUCUAGUGGUUAGGAUACCUGCUUGUCAUUCGGGUGCAGAAACUGAAUACGCAGGUGGCCGGGGUUCAAUUCCCCGAUCGAGAG